rnacentral:lncRNA from 12 species
AUGGGAAUUUUUUGGGAAUUGAUCCAGGAUUGAUCCCAGAAUUUUUCCCAAAAUUUUUCACAAUUUUUUCCUGGCAGGGAGGAGGAAUAUGUGGACCUGAGCCGGGAGUUUGAGCCGUCCCUGGUGAACAGCACCGUGUACCUGCUGGCCAUGGCCAUGCAAACAGCCACCUUUGCCAUCAACUACAAGGUGAGGAUUUGGGAAUAUUCCCAAUUUUCCUGCAUUUUCUGCAUUUUCCACAAUUUCCCAUAUUUUUCCAUAUUUUUCCAUAUUUUUCCAGGCUUUUCUUCCUCAGUUUUUCCCCUCAGUUUUCCCAUUUUCUCCAUUUUUCCUUCCUGUUUUUCCCUAAUUUUUCACAAUUUUCCCUUCCUAUUUUUCCCAAAAUUUCCUUCCUAUUUUUCCCAAUUUCUUCUCCCCUCUUUUCCCAUUUUCUCUUCUCAGUUUUCCCAGUUUCUCCAUUUUUCCUUCCUGUUUUUCCCAAUUUUUCUUUCCUAGUUUCUCUGAAUUUUUCUCAGUUUUUCUCUGAGUUUUCCCACUUUCUCUCCCCAUUUUUUCCAUUUUCUCUCCCCAUUUUUCCCAGUUUCUCCCAUUGUUCCCCAUCACCCCAAUCCCCACCAUUCCUCCCAGUCCCUCCCGGUAUAAACCAGUACAAACCAGUGCCCCCAGACUCCCUCCCAGUGCCCUCCCAGUAUAAACCAGUGCUUCCCAGCGCCCUCAAACCCCAUUUCACUGCUCCAAAACUGCUUGAAAUCGGCUCCCAGUGCCCCCAGAAUCCUUCCAAGAGCCCCCAAAGUCCCUCCCAGUGCAAACCAGUGCCCCCAAAGUCCCUCCCAGUGCCCUCCCAGCAUAAACCAGUUUAUCCCAAUCCCUUCCCAGUGCCAUCAAACCCCAUUUCACUGCUCGGAAUUGGCUCCCAGUGCCCCCAGACUCCCUCCCAGUGCCCUCCCAGUACAAACCAGUUUAUUCCACUCCCCUCCCAGAACCCUCCAGUGCUGUCAAACCUCAUUUUGCUGCUCCCAGUACCCCCAAAGUCCCUCCCAGUGCCCUCCAAGUACAAACCAGUUUAUCCCAGUCCUCUCCCAAUUUAUCCCAGUUCCUACCAGUGCCCUCCCAGUAUAAACCAGUGCUUCCCAGUGCCAUCAAACCCCAUUUCCC